rnacentral:lncRNA from 1 species
AACAUGGCAGUGCCCUCACACCAUGACAGUCACCUGGAGAAAAGACACUAGAUAAAGUCCAACAGCACUCGAAGGAGAUCAAUUCACCUACAACGAAUGAAGAUAAUUUGACACAUAUUCUGGUGGUAAACAGUCAACACCACCAAGUACAUCGGCAAGUUGAACAGAAGCUCACACCAUCGCAGUAAAGAACAGACACAAAGGGGCUUACAUCCCUGGGAAGCAGCUCAGUUGGUAAAGCACACACGGGCCUGUGAUGCUGCAGGCCUGUAAUCUCACAAUGGAGAGGUGGAGGCAGGAGGAUCUAAAGCUGUAGCAGCAGACCACAUAAAACACAACAUGUUUAUACGGCAGUAGGAGUGAGCGCUCUGCAGAUCUCAGCAGAUGCUGGUAUAAAGUCUCCAAUGGACACAAUGCUAAGGAAAAGGAACUGGGGCUGGAGAGACGAGUCAGCAGCCAAGAGCACUGACUGCUCUUGCAGAGGACCUGGGUUCUGCUCCCAGCACCUACAUGAUGAGUUACAACCAUCCCCUUGUAACUGCACUUCCACAGGAUUCCCCACUCUCCUGAUCCCCCACAGACAGUGGGCACAAACACGGCUCAAAAUAAAUAAAAUGUAGAUGAAACACUCUUUCACAU